rnacentral:lncRNA from 1 species
ACGUUUUAGUGCACUAUGUAUCAUUUUAAUAAACCUAUCGUUUAGCAGAUACGUGCGUUUUGGAUUACUUGGUGAUAUAUAAAUAUAUAUAAAGUGUUGUAUUUUAAUAGUAUUAAAAUGCAGUCUAGCAUUUUUGUGGUGUAUGAAAUUAUUGUGUUAAUGGGAAUUCAAUAUAAACUUCAGGAAUACGAUUUUCUUAAAUCUGAAAGUCACAUAAGAUGAGACAAAGCAACGGACUUGCAGCAAGUUUACCUGGGACACGCUGAAAAACAAUGCACGUGAAAGAAUUGAACCUUAAGGUCAACCUGACCUACGGUGACGAUAACAUUCAAGAUGAUGAGGGCGAUAGUUUGUUACAACUAAUGUUUAUAUUCUGGGGCGUCAUUAUGCCAGUUAUUGGCAUAAUCGGAAUCGUUGGGAAUAUUUUAACUGGAAUUGUUUUAUUCCGACGAGAAAUGAGAUCUACAACAGUGUAUUUCCUGCGAACGUUAAUAAUAACAGAUACUGGAAUUAUAGCUGGUGCGAUCAUGGGAGUCUCAGUGAUUUCUAUUACGCAGCUUGAUAAAGAAGAAUGGUUAUUUAAUGAUGUGAUUUACCCGCAUAUUUUCACCCCAACGAACUACUUUGUGAUGACCUUACAAACAUUGAAUGUUUGGACAACUGUUGCCGUGUCAGUAGAACGUUAUAUUGCAAUUUGUUUUCCAUUCAAAUCUAUAAAUAUAUGUAACAAACGUAACGCCUAUAUUGUAAUUGGUGUAACAACAGUGUUUUCAAUAGUUUAUAACAUUCCAAGGUGUUUUGGUACAGGAUUUACCACAUGCGGAAAUAACUGUUACAUGAUAAUAACUACAGAAUUCGGAAAAUCUGAGUUUUAUACAAUAGUUUAUAGCGAAUGGCUUUAUACCAUUCUUAUCUAUAUCAUUCCUCUUCUACUUUUAGGAGUUUUAAAUACGUUACUAAUAGUUGAAUUGACACGCAUGCGCAGAAGAAGGAGAUUAUCAAAUACUGAAGAAAACACGGAAUUUAAUUUAAGUAUUGUGCUUGUUAUAAUUGUAGUAGUGUUUAUACUUUGUCAGACUCCUGGAUUAGUGGCACAAUUUCAGUUUCCUUGACCCUGAUUUUAUAAUGCAGUGGACAUGUGUUAGUAACACAUUGUUUGUGUUGAAUUCAUCAGUGAAUUUUCUGAUUUAUACCGCUGUUGGAAAGAAAUUCAGAACGCUUCUUUUAAGGAUAAUUAAAAAUUGUCUACGUCGAAAGACCACACGUUCUGGUAGUUUCUGGAAUACCGAUAGAGAACUUACUACUUUGACGGUCGUUAAGGAAACGUAUGGAUCAGGAGUAAACAGUGAUGAACUAUCUGCUCUAAAGGAAAGUGAAAAGGGAUAACUUAGUUUUAGAUUGUAUGAUGUUUCUCAUAAGUACUCUGAAUUUGUUGUCAGAUGCCUUUAUACGAUUUAAUCGAUGUCUUUCCGUUGCGUUGAUCUUUCAGUAGUACUUUAGUUCACAUGUGAGAUUAUGAAGUAUACAUAUGGAGUACUGCUUCAAUGGUGUUUCAGUUACAUAUGUGACGGGUUCUUCUAACAGAUCCAUUGGCUAAUCUUGACGAAUCAGAUUCUACAUUAAAUGCUGCGUUACGAUCAAACCUACAUGUAUAUAUGUUAACAGUCCACAUGCGUUCCCAUAGAUGAAGCUUUUUUACAGCCGAUGCAUACAAAAUCCCGUGUAUCGUGUCUUUAGAGCAAAGUUGUCUCCCUUUAUCAUUGGUUUUUAACGUGAGCAGUCCCUAGUUACAGCUUAUUACCAUUAUAACAAACUACUUUUUUGAUAAUUAUACAUGAUAAAAUGUUGUGCUGGCAGACUGACACGUCAUGAAAUCGAAAAGUGAAAAAUGAUUAUAUAUACCGUUAUACAUGUAUUGAAAAUUUCAGUAUCAGAAUAUUGCUAAGACUGUGGUGAGAUGUUGUUUCAUUCAGAUUAAACUUUUUCAUGAACGUAAAGAAUGCAUUGAAGAGAAGAAAUGUGUUACACUUUGAUCAACUCAAAUUUAUAUGGCCUGAAUGUUAUUCACGUGUCUAGCGAAGCGUUCAUUGGAUAAUACCGGUAUGGUGAUUUUACUGACUUUUAUGAAGUUUGGAGAGAGAUUGUUUAAAUAACUAGACUCUCUUGUCUCUUUGUUGACUUUUAAUGUUAUUACUGUCUUAUUGUGUAUGUUUUAUUAGACUUUAUUGAAUAUAUUGUCAUAAAUGUU